rnacentral:rRNA from 1 species
UGGGGAAUAUUGCACAAUGGGCGCAAGCCUGAUGCAGCCAUGCCGCGUGUUUGAAGAAGGCCUUCGGGUUGUAAAGCACUUUCAGCGGGGAGGAAGGCGUUAAGGUUAAUAACCUUGGCGAUUGACGUUACCCGCAGAAGAAGCACCGGCUAACUCCGUGCCAGCAGCCGCGGUAAUACGGAGGGUGCAAGCGUUAAUCGGAAUUACUGGGCGUAAAGCGCACGCAGGCGGUCUGUCAAGUCGGAUGUGAAAUCCCCGGGCUCAACCUGGGAACUGCAUUCGAAACUGGCAGGCUAGAGUCUUGUAGAGGGGGGUAGAAUUCCAGGUGUAGCGGUGAAAUGCGUAGAGAUCUGGAGGAAUACCGGUGGCGAAGGCGGCCCCCUGGACAAAGACUGACGCUCAGGUGCGAAAGCGUGGGGAGCAAACAGG